ACUAAGGUCUGUAGUGGGUGAGAUAGAUCAUUCACACCAUAUGUGGCUUUAUAGGAGGAGAGACGAACCUGUGGCUACAAGCAUCAUGAAUAACUGCAGUGCAGUAGAAAAAGCCCAAAUGCACAAAAARCAGUAUUUGUUUUGGUCUCAUUAAAUAUAUCCUUCCCUGCAGAGGGUAAACCACAGUYACUUCACGUAUCUCCAGCUCUUCGUUCCUCAUAGUUGUCUUGCAACACCAGUCUGGUCUGACACUGAUUGCCAGGAGCCUGGAAGAUCCUGUUUGCAAACAGCAUCAACAACACAUUCUGAAUAUGACCAAAUCCAGAGGGAUUUGAGAAGAGCCGUGCUGAAUCCUUCCUGAACUCACCAUAUCCCAGUCCUACUGUUCCCAAGAGUGGCCACUAACAGGCUUCGGAGUGAGAAAUAGGAUGCUGAAGCAGGAAAGGCGCUCCUGCUGAGGAAGAGGAGGGAGAA